rnacentral:tRNA from 1 species
AGAAACUUAGGAUAAUUUAAACCAAGGACCUUCAAAGCCCUAAAUAGGGGAUAACCCCCUAGUUUCUG